GUGCCAUUGUUGCCCACGUUUCCUUGGCGAGACAACGGGGAGAAUGGGGUUGGCCUUAUGAAAGGGGGUCAUUCCGGCAAGCCGGCCCGGUCCUUAGAAAAGACAGAGAUAUCCAAAACACAGGGGAUGUGAGAGUUGGCGCUGUACCCUAUCAUAUCGACUGAGAGGUGUGCACGCCACUUUUCAGACCUAAUUUAUGUCCCAA